rnacentral:lncRNA from 1 species
CAGUAUUCUACUCUGCAAAUCAAAGGGAAAAUGAUAAAUUGAUUGCGGCAAUACAAAUAUUCUGUCAAUUUUUCAACAAACUUUAACAUAAUUUGUUCAAAUACUUAAAAUAAUGCGACUAGACAACAAUUAGAAAAAAAUAAUAAUCAGGGCGAAUGGACCCUGGGCGAACAGGUAUCAGGGCGAACAGGUACUAGGGCGAACAUGAAUCAGGGCGAACGGACCCGGAUUCAUG